GCCAGUGUGGCUCAGUGAUAGAGCAUUGGCCUGCGGACUCAAGAGUCCCUGGUUCAAUUCCAGUCAAGGGCA
rnacentral:tRNA from 1 species